AGCUCUAAUAGCGUAUAUUAAAGUUGUUGCAGUUAAAAAGCUCGUAGUUGGAUUUUUGAGUAUGAUUUCGACUGUCCCGGGACAUUGUCUCGCGCGAUGGUUGGUCGGCUCUUCCUUCCAGUGCCUGGGCGUGGGCCCUUAAUUGGGUGUUGCGUUCGGUCUGGGACUUUUACUUUGAGCAAAAUAGGGUGUUCAAAGCAGGCGUUUGCCUUGAAUACAUUAGCAUGGAAUAUCAAUAUAGGACUAUGGUUCUAUUUUGUUGGUUUCUAGGACCAGAGUAAUGAUUAAUAGGGAUAGUUGGGGGCAUUCAUAUUUCAAAGUCAGAGGUGAAAUUCUAAGAUUCUUGAAAGAUGAACUUAUGCGAAAGCGUUUGCCAAGGAUGUUUUCAUUAAUCAAGAAC
rnacentral:rRNA from 1 species